rnacentral:rRNA from 1 species
GACAGAGGGUGCAAACGUUGUUCGGAAUUACUGGGCGUAAAGCGCGUGUAGGCGGCCCUGCAAGUCGGAUGUGAAAUCCCACGGCUCAACCGUGGAAGUGCAUUCGAAACUGCAGGGCUAGAGUCCUGGAGAGGAAGGUGGAAUGCUUGGUGUAGAGGUGAAUUCGUAGAUAUCAAGCGGAACACCGGUGGCGAAGGCGGCCUUCUGGACAGUGACUGACGCUGAGACGCGAAAGCGUGGGAGCAACAGG